rnacentral:rRNA from 1 species
AUUGAACGCUGGCGGCAGGCCUAACACAUGCAAGUCGAACGAGUGGCGGACGGGUGAGUAAUGUCUGGGAAACUGCCCGAUGGCGGGGGAUAACUACUGGAAACGGUAGCUAAUACCGCAUACCAUCGGAUGUGCCCAGAUGGGAUUAGCUAGUAGGUGGGGUAACGUCUCACCUAGGCGACGAUCCGUAGCUGGUCUGAGAGGAUGACCAGCGAAACUGGAACGGAGACACGGUCCAGAAUCCUACGUGAGGCAGCAGUGGGGAAGAUCGCACAAUGGGCGCAAGCCGGAUACAGCCAUGCCGCGUGGAUGAAGAAGGCCUUCGGGUUGUAAAGUACUGUCAGCGAGGAGGCGUUACUAGCAGAAGAAGCACCGGCUAACUCCGUGCCAGCAGCCGCGGUAAUAC